rnacentral:rRNA from 1 species
GAUGAACGCUGGCGGCGUGCUUAACACAUGCAAGUCGAACGACGAAGCCCAGCUUGCUGGGUGGUUUAGUGGCGAACGGGUGAGUAACACGUGAGUAACCUGCCCUUAACUCUGGGAUAAGCCUGGGAAACUGGGUCUAAUACCGGAUAGGAGCGUCCACCGCAUGGUGGGUGUUGGAAAGAUUUAUCGGUUUUGGAUGGACUCGCGGCCUAUCAGCUUGUUGGUGGGGUAAUGGCUCACCAAGGCGACGACGGGUAGCCGGCCUGAGAGGGUGACCGGCCACACUGGGACUGAGACACGGCCCAGACUCCUACGGGAGGCAGCAGUGGGGAAUAUUGCACAAUGGGCGCAAGCCUGAUGCAGAGACGCCGCGUGAGGGAUGACGGCCUUCGGGUUGUAAACCGCUUUCAGUAGGGAAGAAGCGAAAGUGACGGUACCUGCAGAAGAAGCACCGGCUAGCUACGUG